AUUGAACGCUGGCGGCAGGCCUAACACAUGCAAGUCGAACGGUAACAGGAAACAGCUUGCUGUUUCGCUGACGAGUGGCGGACGGGUGAGUAAUGUCUGGGAAACUGCCUGAUGGAGGGGGAUAACUACUGGAAACGGUAGCUAAUACCGCAUAACGUCGCAAGACCAAAGAGGGGGACCCUCGGGCCUCUUGCCAUCGGAUGUGCCCAGAUGGGAUUAGCUUGUUGGUGGGGUAACGGCUCACCAAGGCGACGAUCCCUAGCUGGUCUGAGAGGAUGACCAGCCACACUGGAACUGAGACACGGUCCAGACUCCUACGGGAGGCAGCAGUGGGGAAUAUUGCACAAUGGGCGCUAAGCCUGAUGCAGCCAUGCCGCGUGUAUGAAGAAGGCCUUCGGGUUGUAAAGUACUUUCAGCGGGGAGGAAGGGAGUAAAGUUAAUACCUUUGCUCAUUGACGUACCC
rnacentral:rRNA from 1 species